rnacentral:miRNA from 1 species
UGAUGUUAGCAUGUUAGUACC